CUGCCCCCUCUCUAUCUAUGCGAAGAGAAAAAAUUUGGAAUAAGAUAUGUGGAGAGAUGGUUUCCAACGCUAACGAAGAAGGAAAUCGACCGGAUGAUCAGAGACACGAUCAAUAUAGUGCUUAUGUUGCGAUUUGGCCGUAGCUCCGACAAAGAUUUUCCUCACCUUGAUGACAUUUUAUACCUUCACUUUGAUUUCUCUCUCUCUGAAUCAAUUUUUUUUUUCUUUUUGUUUUCACGUCUCUAUUCACCCAAAAUCCCUAAUUUCAAAAAAUUUCAGCUUGGCAAAUCGGUGAGAGAUGUCUCGAAUUUGCUACGAUAGCUUUGUUGAUGCCGAUUCGGAUCAAGUUGAAGUUUAUGUCAAGUACUUCGAUAUCGCUCUAUUGUCUUCCACGAUCUUAUUCUUUAAUGCAUAUCACAUGAAAUUGGAUUCUGGCUAGGUUCUUGUUUCACAUGAAAAUUUACAAAACUUUAAUUUUUCAAGUUAAUUCUGAUUUUGUAAUGUUUUACAGUAUUGCGGUUCAUACUAUGGAUUGGUAAGUUUCACCAAAAACAAGACUUUAUUAAUGUUGUUGAGGUAAAACAUUUCAAUAUAUCCUAUGAGAUUUUAGGAGAUAUAAACAAUUUUUUAAAAAAUUAACAUAUAUUUUCCAUAAUUUUGGAGUCCAAAAUCAAUCUUCCAUUAAGUUUUGUACAGAUCCGACCAUGUACAAAGGAACGAUGAAAGUGGAGG
rnacentral:lncRNA from 1 species